UGAGGGUCAGAGCCAGCUGCCCUGCUGCCCAGCCCUUGAGGACACAGAGUCACACUCCUCUCCCACCCUCAAGUGCCUCGUGAACCCCUCUCUCCAGGAGGAGGGCAUCAUGACGCACUAGACCUGGCUGCAGGUGGUGAGUGAAUGUAGCUGCGCCCUGAGCAGAGGGGAGAGGGGCCAUGAGGAGGCUGUUUUGGGGCCCUUCUGGAGCAGGGCCGGAGAAGGGUAGGAGAUUGAAGAGGUGCAACCAGCGGAAAUGCCCAGCCCCGGGACCAGGGGACUAGGGACAGGAGCCUACCCUGUGCGGCUCUGAGGAGUGGCUGUGAGCACUGCACGCAGGACUGAGAAAGCCCGGGAUAAGCCCGGAGUGCAGGGAAACCCGCAGCCCCCUGGGCAGAUGUGGAGAAGAAUCUGGACAAGCUGACCGAGACCCCGGUACCGGGGGUCUCCGUGUGUGCCUGGCUGCGUGAUCAGGUGACCCCAGACUCUGAGGGCGUGGAACUGCUUUUGCCAGGAAAGCGCUCUGGGCAUGCUGUGUAGGGGUGAAUUACCCUUACCCCCUUCACCAAGACCCAGAACUGCCUUUCCUAGGGGUGAAGUAAGGUUUCCAGGGCCUCAUGUUGCAGAAAAAAAGAACCCUAAAUUAACAUACAGAGAGAUUAAAUUAUCUCCAUUCCCAAUCUGGCAUAUUUCCUAAACCUUAAAUAAUUUGAGAGGCUUCCAUGUGGGCUUCUGAGAAACAGGAGGGCAGCUGGGAGAACUUCCCACGCCCACAAGCCUUUGUGUGAAAAUCCCUAAAAAUAGAGGUUGUUCUUCUAAAAACAAAAGGGAAGGCUAAGCCAUGGGAACACUGACAGAACCUAACCUCUCGCUUCUGCUCCAGCAAAGACGCGUGUGAAGAUAUAGAACAUCAUAUUUGCCAUUUUUACCAUUUUAACUGUACAGUUCAGUGGUAUUAAUCACACACAAUAUUGUCCAACCAUCAUCGCUAUUUCCAAAACUUUCAUCGUCCCCAAUAGACACUCUGUACCCACUAAGUACUAACUCCCCGUUUCGUCUACCCUCAGAGGUAACUCCCCUCAUCUACUUCCCGUCUCUAUGGAUUUACCUAUUUUGUGUAUUUCAUGUAAGUAGAAUCAUACAAUACUUGUCCUUUUGUGUCUGGCUUACUUCACUCAGCAUAAUGUCCUCAAGGUUCAUCCAUGUUGUAGCAUGUGUCAGAAUUUCAUUCCCAGCAAAGAAAUUUUUAAUAACCCAUCUCUGCCAGAAAAAAAGACCCCCCAAAAGUUACAGAUUAACCAUCUGUGAACAAAGGAUGAAUGGGCGGACAGGCUGACACAGUCACGUUACUGGAAUCCAUUAUGCAGUCACCGCUUGGCAUCUGCAGGAAAUUAGUUCCAGGCCCCCUGACCAAUACCAAAAUGCGUAGAUGCUUAAGUCCCUGAUAUAAAGUGAUGUAGUAUUUGCAUUUAACCUACACACAUCCUCCCACAUACUUUAAGUCAUCUCCAGAUUACGUAUAAUACCUAAUUCAAGGCCAGGCACAGUAGCUCACACCUGUAAUUCCAGCACUUUGGAAUUACAAAAAUUCCAAAUCUCCAGGCCAAGGUGAGAGGAUCACGUGAGCCCAGGAAUUCAAGACCAGCUUGGGCAACACGGUGAGAGCCUAUUCUUUUCCCCA
rnacentral:lncRNA from 1 species